CUACGGUGGCUGCAGUGAGGAAUAUUGCACAAUGGGGGGAACCCUGAUGCAGCAACGCCGCGUGGAGGAUGACGCAUUUCGGUGUGUAAACUCCUUUUAUAUGUCAAGAAAAUGACGGUAGCAUAUGAAUAAGCACCGGCUAACUCCGUGCCAGCAGCCGCGGUAAUACGGAGGGUGCAAGCGUUACUCGGAAUCACUGGGCGUAAAGGACGCGUAGGCGGGUUGGAAAGUCAGGUGUGAAAUCCUACAGCUUAACUGUAGAACUGCACUUGAAACUUCUAAUCUAGAGUAUGGGAGGGGGAGAUGGAAUUAGUGGUGUAGGGGUAAAAUCCGUAGAUAUCACUAGGAAUACCUAAAGCGAAGGCGAUCUCCUGGAACAUUACCGACGCUAAGGCGUGAAAGCGUGGGGAGCAAACAGGAUUAGAUACCCUUGUAGUC
rnacentral:rRNA from 1 species